AAGUCGUAACAAGGUCUCCGUAGGUGAACCUGCGGAGGGAUCAUUACAAGAACGCCCGGGCUUCGGCCUGGUUAUUCAUAACCCUUUGUUGUCCGACUCUGUUGCCUCCGGGGCGACCCUGCCUUCGGGCGGGGGCUCCGGGUGGACACUUCAAACUCUUGCGUAACUUUGCAGUCUGAGUAAACUUAGUUAAUAAAUUAAAACUUUUAACAACGGAUCUCUUGGUUCUGGCAUCGAUGAAGAACGCAGCGAAAUGCGAUAAGUAAUGUGAAUUGCAGAAUUCAGUGAAUCAUCGAAUCUUUGAACGCACAUUGCGCCCCCUGGUAUUCCGGGGGGCAUGCCUGUUCGAGCGUCAUUUCACCACUCAAGCCUCGCUUGGUAUUGGGCAACGCGGUCCGCCGCGUGCCUCAAAUCGUCCGGCUGGGUCUUCUGUCCCCUAAGCGUUGUGGAAACUAUUCGCUAAAGGGUGUUCGGGAGGCUACGCCGUAAAACAACCCCAUUUCUAAGGUUGACCUCGGAUCAGGUAGGGAUACCCGCUGAACUUAA
rnacentral:rRNA from 1 species